rnacentral:rRNA from 1 species
AGGCUUAACACAUGCAAGUCGAGCGCCCCGCAAGGGGAGCGGCAGACGGGUGAGUAACGCGUGGGAACGUACCCUUUACUACGGAAUAACGCAGGGAAACUUGUGCUAAUACCGUAUGUGCCCUUCGGGGGAAAGAUUUAUCGGUAAAGGAUCGGCCCGCGUUGGAUUAGCUAGUUGGUGGGGUAAAGGCCUACCAAGGCGACGAUCCAUAGCUGGUCUGAGAGGAUGAUCAGCCACAUUGGGACUGAGACACGGCCCAAACUCCUACGGGAGGCAGCAGUGGGGAAUAUUGGACAAUGGGCGCAAGCCUGAUCCAGCCAUGCCGCGUGAGUGAUGAAGGCCCUAGGGUUGUAAAGCUCUUUCACCGGAGAAGAUAAUGACGGUAUCCGGAGAAGAAGCCCCGGCUAACUUCGUGCCAGCAGCCGCGGUAAUACGAAGGGGGCUAGCGUUGUUCGGAAUUACUGGGCGUAAAGCGCACGUAGGCGGAUCGAUCAGUCAGGGGUGAAAUCCAGGGCUCAACCCUGGAACUGCCUUUGAUACUGUCGAUCUGGAGUAUGGAA